UACGUAGGGGGCAAGCGUUGUCCGGAAUUAUUGGGCGUAAAGAGCGCGUAGGCGGUCCGAUAAGUCGGCUGUGAAAGUCCAGGGCUCAACCCUGGGAUGCCGGUGGAUACUGUCGAGCUCGAGUCCGGAAGAGGCGAGUGGAAUUCCUGGUGUAGCGGUGAAAUGCGCAGAUAUCAGGAGGAACACCAAUGGCGAAGGCAGCUCGCUGGGACGUGACUGACGCUGAGACGCGAAAGCGUGGGGAGCAAACAGG
rnacentral:rRNA from 1 species